rnacentral:tRNA from 5 species
CGGAGUGUAGUUCAGCCUGGUAGAACGCUACGUUCGGGACGUAGAGGUCGCUGGUUCGAGUCCAGUCACUCCGACCA